AUGGCGUAAACCCAGGAGGCGGAGCUUGCAGUGAGCUGAGACCCGGCCACUGCACUCCAGCCUGGGUGGCAGAGUGAGACUCUGUCUCAAAAAAACUAAAAAUAAAAAUAAAAAUAAAAAUAGUGCUGCAGUGUCAUUCUCACAGAGGCUUCUCUCUGCACCCAUGCAAGUACUUUGCUGGAGUAGGCAUCAGGAAGUGGAAUUUUUGGGCCAAUUGUGCACAUUCUAAGUCUCAUACUUGAUAUUUUUGAGUAACUACAGUUUAAAUGGUUUUGUCCCAUGACCAAGAUCAUCAAGCUUGUGACUUCUAGAGCCUUUACCUAUUGUCUACCCUCUUUGUGUCCCUAACUCUACCAUAGUGGUCCAGCCCAUUGUGGGUGCUCAGUAAAUAUUUGUUGAAUAACUUUAUGAAGGGAAGAAAGAAAAGAUGAGUAAGGUCUGGUCUUAUUCAAAGCUCUCCCAAUCAAUGUCUUUGUGACUAAAUGUGGUGGGUUCAGCCCCUGAAUGACUUCAGAGCCUCCACCAGGCAAUGGCUAAGAGUUUGACCCUUGAGGAGUCCACAGUGUUGGACAUCCAUAGAGUUGAACAAGGGUGGAACCAGGGAAUCCAGUGAAGAGGGUCCUUCAUAAAUCAGAGGGGCAUGAUGGAAGCUUGGACCUAGCAAGGGAAGUGUGGGGAAGUGAUAGGAUUCUGAAUAUUUUAAUGCAGUAGAGUCAGAGAUUUCCUGAUCAGAUAACAGAUAUUGCUUUUACAGAUGGUUUUCCAUACUGGAACUCAAAGGUAAAGAUACUCAAGGACAGACAUUUUUGGCAGAGGUAAGAUGUUCUUCGGUUACCAUACUUGAGUUAGCCCUGGGGAAGUGGACGUUUCCACACAGAAUCCUAUAGCUUCUUCCAGGCCACAGUGUCUGUCUCACACCUUCUGGUGUCUCUUGAUAUGCAGCAUAGAUGAAAAUGGCAAGUUCCCUGGUCUUCCUUCUGCUCAACUUUCAUGUCGCCUUCUUCUUGGUCCAGCUGCUCAUUCCUUGCUCAGCUCAGUUUUCUGUGCUUGGACCCUCUGGUCCCAUCCUGGCCAUGGUGGGUGAAGACGCUGAUCUGCCCUGUCACCUGUUCCCGACCAUGAGUGCAGAGUCCAUGGAGCUGAGAUGGGUGAGUUCCAGCCUAAGGCAGGUGGUGAACGUGUAUGCAGAUGGAAAGGAAGUGGAAGACAGGCAGAGUGCACCGUAUCGAGGGAGAACUUCGAUUCUACGGGAUGGCAUCACUGCAGGGAAGGCUGCUCUCCGAAUACACAACGUCACAGCCUCUGACAGUGGAAAGUACUUGUGUUAUUUCCAAGAUGGUGACUUCUAUGAAAAAGCCCUGGUGGAGCUGAAGGUUGCAGCACUGGGUUCUAAUCUUCAUGUUGAAGUGAAGGGUUAUGAGGAUGGAGGGAUCUAUCUGGAGUGCAGGUCCACUGGCUGGUAUCCCCAACCCAAAAUACAGUGGAGCGAUGCCAAGGGACAGAAAAUCCCAGCUGUGGAAGCACCUGUGGUUGCAGACGGAGUGGGCCUAUAUGCAGUAGCAGCAUCUGUGAUCAUGAGAGGCGGCUCCGGGAAGAGUGUAUCCUGCAUCAUCAGAAAUUCUGUCCUUGGCCUGGAAAAGACAGCCAGCAUUUCUAUCGCAGACCCCUUCUUCAGGAGUGCCCAGCCCUGGAUCACAGCCCUGGCAGGGACCCUGCCUAUCUUGCUGCUGCUUCUCGGUGGAGCCAGUUACUUCUUGUGGAGACAACAUAAGGAAAUAACUGCUUUAUCCAGUGAGAUAGAAAGCGAGCAAGAGAUGAAAGAAUGGGGAUAUGCUGCAACAAAGCAGGAAAUAAGCCUAAGAGAGACCCGGGCAUGUCUUCCUAUCCCGGCUUUGAGCACCUUGAUGACUUUUCCCUGUUCAUUCCAUUGCAGAGAGGAGAAAAAUCCAGUACUUGACUCGUGGAAAGGAGUCUUCGUCUGAUACUGAUAAGUCAGCCUGAUGCUCUAAUGGAAAAUGGCCCUCUUCAAGUCUGAGCAACUUCAAGAAGAAUUGCGUAAGUUUAGCUUUUCCUGAACUACUCCAUAUACAAUUUGAGUUCUGCUCAGUUAGCAAUAUCUCAUGACAUUCACCUCUGUCUGUCCCUUGAAGAUGGAGAAGAACAUUCUUACAUGCUGGUGAGUGCCCCUGAUGUUCCCUCAGAUCUCAGCUUUCUCCCCACCAGCUAGCUAACGGGACUCAUUAGACAAGAUGAGCAAGGGACCCAGGGCGAAGUGGGGACAGCAGGGAACUGGGGUCAGUUCAUCAACAGUGUCCCAGCAGUGAUGCAUCAUGGCUCUUCUGUCAGGAAUCCCAGCAGCUCUCAAUCAACCCUAUGGUUUACAUCCCAGGAUCCUUUCUCUUUUGGAAUAAUUUAAUGCAUGAUUACCAGAGGUUUCCCAUAUAUAGUAGCCUCCCCAAGAGUUAUGCUUCACUGGUUUUUGCUCUUUGAUUCUGGAUCAGUUUGAAAGAAGACAAUGCUGUCUUAGCAAUUUAUGUACUAGGGAUAGUGUAGACUGUGUAUAGUUGAAGGCCCAUGUGGGGAAGAGGCUACAAAGGUUCCCAAUACGCCUCACAGAAUGGUAUACAAAUAGGUGGCCAGAAAUGCCUUUCUGCUUCUAAGAGAGCACUGAUACUUUGUGUAUAGCCUGCCAGGGGAGGCAUCUGGGUGAAUGGGAGAGCACAGAACCCAAUUGCCCACUCCCAAUGAGCACUUUCCAUCUUAUGAUACAGCCCCUCAGCCCAUAAGCACCACAGAAUCCAAGUUUUACCAGAUACCAUGACACAUGGACCUUUCCUCUUUAGAUGAAUUUCAAAAUUGCCACUGUCAACUUGGGACAAAACAGCAAAAUGUCACAACCAGAUAUUUCACCAUGGAUAAUAGAGGAAAUCAUUUUAACACAAUAGAAAGGUAAACUGAAUGAGAAUAAAUGCAGAUGGGAGAAGCUUGCAGAAUGCCCAGAACCUGGAGCAUUUCUCGCACUGACCGACAGGAAAUGGACCUAGCCACUGGGGAAGCUGAGGCAGGAGAAUUGCUUGAACCCAGGAGGCGGAGGUUGGGGUAAACCAAGAUCGACCCAUUGUACUCCAGCCUGGGCAAUAAGAGUGAAACUACGUCUCAAAGAAAACAAAAAACCCUGCAGCUUCAGUAACUCCCAGGGUAUGAGCUGCCUGGGAUCAGGGGGCCUUCGUGGAAAUGGCCCCUUCACGGGAAUUCCCCUGUAGUUUUCUGAGACUUCUCUGGGGACCAGGAACCACACAAUCCCGAGGGUUCCUGAGACCCAAGGCCUAAACCUGAGAAUUCCUCUGCAGCCAGUGUGGUCCUGCACACAGACACUGCUCAUCUCCAUCUCUUAUCAGACGACCAAGGAAGUGUGACAUUGGCUCCCUCCAGGGAGAGCGUGCUGUAUAACCCAGAGAGAUUUCAACAGUCAGCUUUGUGUCCUGGGCCGGGAGAGCUUUGCCUCAGGGAAACAUUACUGGGAGGUGGAGGUGGAAAAUGUAAUUGAGUGGACUGUGGGGGUCUGUAGAGACAGCGUUGAGAGGAAAUAGGAUGUCCUGCUACUUCCUCAGAAUGGCUUCUGGACCUUGGAGCUGUAUGAAAGCAAAUACUGGGCCCUGACCUCUGCUAAGUGGAUUCUCUCUCUCUCUGAAUAAGCCCCUUUGCCAGUUGGGUGUCUUCCUGGAGUAUGAAGAUGGAGACGUCUCCUUCUACAACAUGAGGGACAGAUCGCACAUCUGCACAUUUCCCAGUUCAGCCUUUUCCAGGCCCCUGAAGCCAUUCUUCAAGUUACAGUCUGUGACAGCUGCAUCUUUAUCUGCCCCGCAUUCACAGGAGCCAGUGCGAUCAUGAAGCCUGAAGAGGCCUGACAGUUCACAGAUCGGUGACCCACCAUGGCCCACAGAAUCAGUUCCCUGGUCUCACAGCCAUUGAGGCAAGCCCUGGCCAUCUCAGCAGCCACUGCAUAAUGCCCCUGGUGGAAGACAUGCCCUCCUCCCCUCUGGUCACACAAGAGAACAUCUUCCAGCUGCCUCUUUCACACCCAGUCCAGACCUCAGCCCCUGUUCACUCCUCACUAGGCUGUAGCUUUAGUAAUUCCUUUGCUUGUAAUUAUGGGAUGGGAUCCAGCGUUAGAAAUAAAUGCUCAGUGCCCCAAAGAAGAGUCAGCACUCUGGCAAAAAGCUUUCUCAGCUAGGCAAUUUACUUCUGCAGAAGGGUGCUGCUCACAAGUCUGAUCACCACAAGAAUACACCAAACAAAGAGGGAAAGAAUUUUUAUUCCUAAUGCUGCUUGUCCCAGCUUCUGUGUUCAGUCACCACUCACCAGAGUUGGACCACACAAUCUAAGCUGAACCUGAUUAGCUAACUUGAAAGGGGCAGGGGUGUGGUUACACUGGUUGGAAGGUCAGUUUCUGUGGGAAGAGCUAUGCAACGGGAGGGGUAAUUUACACAGUGAGUAGCAGAUGUGGGCUCUGCAGGUAAGGACCAGUGGAAAAGUUGUUUACUGAAACUGAGAUAGGGAGACAUAAAGGAUAAGGAGGUUAGUUUGGCCUUAUAAGUAAGAAACAAAGAACAAGGGCACUGAACAAGCCAAACAUUUGAAGAGGAACUUCUUUUAUAUCUGACAUCCAGGCAUAGGGAACUAGGUGUUACACAGCUCCCAGCCAGGAAGAAAGUGUGAGAAGCUGAUUGGCAGUGAACUUGCUGUUUAACAUCAGGAUGACGACAUUGAGCCCAAUAUGCCACUUGGCACCAGAUGCUGUGGAUUUGGAAUGAGGCCAGCAGGGGUCACCAGGAUGUGAGAGGAGAGAAGAAUCCACAGGACCACCAGAGGGAAGAGGGAACCAGAUAUGCAGGUCAGAGAUAGAAGAGGUAGAACCAGAGAGCUGGGAGGGAGCAAGGUUGUGACGGUGGUUAAGUCCCACCAUAACAGCUAAGGGGUCCUGGGAUAUGAUGGCUCAUUUCCACCAAACCCCAGGAUUUCCAGAGCACACACCCACAGGCCUGGACCUGGGACAAAGAUGAAUGAAGAACAUGGACUCAUGUGGAUGUGAUUUGGCUCCUGUGUCCCUGCAAUAAACAAGGAGUCAGUAGUUAGUCCUUGAGUGUGGUUGAGGUUUGAGGUCCUGGUGGAGCAGAGUAGUACUGGACCAGGUCUAUGUUAGCAUUCAGGUUCAAUGAGGGCACCAGUGGCUUCAAACUUCCCGGUCUAAUUAUGUCUUAAGACACUUAAUAACUACUGAGGGCCUUGAGGAGCUUUUGUUUAUUUGGGUUGGUAUUUGUUAAUAUUUACGGCAUUUAUGAUUGAAACAGAAAAUGUUAAAAUGUAGCUUACUAAUUCAUGUUAAAAUACCAUGAAUGUACCAAUUACAGUUUAAUAUAAAUAAAAUGAUUUGUGAAAAAAAUCAACUAUUGUGUCUAAACAAAAGAACAAGAAGUGUGACAUUGGUUAACUUUUUCCAAAUCUAAUGUCUGGCUUCAUAGAAGACGUUUGUAUUCUCAUACCUGCUUUUGUAUUGAAUCUAUUGGUAUAUCACAGGUUAUAUAGGCCCCCAAAAACCUUAUUGUACCCUACCGAGAGAAUGAAAUCAAAAACAAAAAAUGUUAUAUUAUUAAUAUUAUAAUGAAAAUAGUAUUAACAUUGGGGGCUCCUUAACAGUAUAUCAGAGAUCACCCUAGGAAUCCCCAGACCAUAUUUGGAAACUAGAAUAGUGGAUCCUGGAAGUUAAUCCAUGUGCUGGUUAAUUUUAGAUGUCAACUUGACUGGAUUAAGAAUACCUAGACAACUGAUACAACAUUAUUUCUGGGUGUGUCUGUGAAUGUGUUUCCAGAAGAGAUUGGCAUGUGAGUCAGUAGGAAAUUCUCCCCUCCUAUUGGCUGGAGGCCCAACAGAACAAAAGGCAGAGGAAAGACAAAUUCUUCUCUCCCCUGAGACAUUUUUCUUCUUCUGCCCUUGGACAUCAGAACUCCUGCCUUUCCAGCCUUUCAGCUUCGGGAGUUGUACCAGGAUGCCCUGGGUUCUCAGGUCUUUUGGUUCGGACUGAGAUUUACACAAUCGGCGUCCCUAGUUCUGAGGCUUUCGGACUUAAACUGAACCAUGCUACCAGCAUCCCAAGGUCUCCAGCCUACAGACAAGCUGUCAUGGGAUUUCUCGGCCUCCAUAAUCACAUGAGAAAAUUUCCCUAAUAAACGCUCACUCAUACAUAUAUGUCUA